rnacentral:ncRNA from 3 species
UUCUUAUCACGAGAGGUGGAGGGAUUUGGCCCUUUGAUACCUCGGCAGCGGGCUCACUUGAGCACUGUGCCAACUCCAACAGGCGGAUGCCUGAGAGAUGAGAA